GUUCGCUCUCACCGGAACAGAUAAGUUUGUGGCACUAUAAGGCAAUACCAAAUCUAGCUGUCAGACUGAAGCCGUCACAGAGUACAUUGUAGCCGUCAUUCUCUGUCAAAGCACUCAAAGUCAACAUGUCAUAGGACCUAAGUCUGUUAUUCCUCCAAAUAUUGACCAAAAGAUUAU